UUAACUUGAGUUUUAGACAUUGACCUUUGAAGUUAAAUUAAUUAAUUAGUUUUAAUAAGUUAAU
rnacentral:tRNA from 1 species